AAAAAAAAAAUAAAAUAAAAGAAAACCAUAUUUCCAAUUACAAAAUAUUAGCCUAGUUAAAGUAUGUGCUUGAAAACACCAACUCAAGGAGUCACGUGGAACAGUUGUUCUAACACUUCAAACGUUUGAGUUUCACAAACGGUUCGGAUCCGCUGAAAACAAUUCUCUUGUAGUUUAACGGUCAGAAUACGCGCUUGUCACGCGCGUGAUCGGGGUUCGAUUCCCCG
rnacentral:tRNA from 1 species